rnacentral:lncRNA from 1 species
AUGUGUUACGUGGUGAAUCCAUUGGUCACUCUUGUGGUGAAUCCUGGAUUCAUAUCCUUUCACUUUCUCUGGAGUUCAGGGUCCUUUUUCACUUCUGUUGAAUAUUCAUUGCAGAAUAUGGUUUCAACUCCCAAGCUAGUUAAUAUUGCUUCAUUUGAGACUGCAAAAAAUGUCAUUGGAAAUAAACAGUGGAUAUACAGUAAUGAUGCUAGAUAACAUGAAGCAGGAACUUUAAUUACUCUGUCAAAUUUCUCAACAGUGUAAAAUUCCCCUUCACCAUGCUCUCACUAUCCCAUUCAGUUGUUACUACACUCAUAAUUUAUGAGAAGAUGAAGUGGCUGCUUGUAGAAUGACGCUCUCAUUUGGCCUCAUCAUUCUGGUUGGCCCUCUGAUGGGUGAUGUCACAUGAGGAGAAUCUGGAACCAAAAAAUCUAAAUAAAAUUAGAAUUCAUAAAAAUGUUUUAUUAGAA